UACGAGGGGGGCAGGCGUUGUUCGGAAUUAUUGGGCGUAAAGGGCGCGUAGGCGGCCAUGCGUGUCUUCCGUGAAAUCCCUCGGCUUAACUGAGGACGUGCGGAAGAAACUGCAAGGCUCGAGUCCGGGAGAGGAGGGUGGAAUUCCCAGUGUAGCGGUGAAAUGCGUAGAUAUUGGGAGGAACACCGGUGGCGAAGGCGGCCCUCUGGACCGGUACUGACGCUGAUGCGCGAAAGCGUGGGUAGCAAACGGG
rnacentral:rRNA from 1 species